rnacentral:rRNA from 1 species
AUUGAACGCUGGCGGCAUGCCUUACACAUGCAAGUCGAACGGUAACAGGUCUUCGGAUGCUGACGAGUGGCGAACGGGUGAGUAAUACAUCGGAACGUGCCCGAGAGUGGGGGAUAACGAGGCGAAAGCUUUGCUAAUACCGCAUACGAUCUCAGGAUGAAAGCAGGGGACCGCAAGGCCUUGCGCUCACGGAGCGGCCGAUGGCAGAUUAGGUAGUUGGUGGGAUAAAAGCUUACCAAGCCGACGAUCUGUAGCUGGUCUGAGAGGACGACCAGCCACACUGGGACUGAGACACGGCCCAGACUCCUACGGGAGGCAGCAGUGGGGAAUUUUGGGCAAUGGGCGCAAGCCUGAUCCAGCCAUGCCGCGUGCAGGAUGAAGGCCUUCGGGUUGUAAACUGCUUUUGUACGGAACGAAAAGACUCCUUCUAAUAAAGGGGGUCCAUGACGGUACCGUAAGAAUAAGCACCGGCUAACUACGUGCCAGCAGCCGCUGUAAAAC